ensembl:scaRNA Scarna6 small Cajal body-specific RNA 6
GGUCAGUGAUGAAUAGUAAAAGGUCUGACUUCCGAGGUCGCCUCCCAGCAGCCUACAUCCCCAGCUGCUUACCUCUCUCCCAUCAUGCUCUAGUAGUGCUAUCAUGGGCAAACACAGUAGCUGACAUGCAGUGAUGUCUCCAUUCUGUCUUCCCUGACAAGUCCAGAGAAGGCACUGGUUGGCAUCCAACAGCUUGGUCACAAGGGAUUUGGUUGUUGGGAGUGCUGGCGUCCUUGGCUAUGAUCUGACAUUUUAAGCUGAGACC